rnacentral:lncRNA from 1 species
CGGAGUCGAACCUGAAUGAAAGUGGCGCGCCGCUGAGGACCCGGGUGGAGCUGCUGCCGUUGGGGUCUGGGCUGGCUUGCUAAGGAGCUGUCGGCGAGGCGGCGUAGACAUGGCUUACAACAAGAUCCCGCCUCGGUGGCUGAACUGUCCGAGGCGCGGCCAGCCGGUGGCAGGUACCCGGGAGGGGACUACGGGAGGGUUCGAAUCCCACUAAGCCGGCCUGGGGACCCGCGCGCUUGGUGGCCGCUAGUCGGGGUCCGGCAGGGCGGAGGAAUGAGAACCGGAGGUGGACAAGAGGCUUCUUGGAGCUUAAAGUUUGUGAACCUUUUUGUGGUAUUUUUGAGUCCAGGUCUUGCUGUCUUGGCGAGACUUGUUCUUGGAAAGAGAGUAGUAUGAGCCUUGAAAUU